rnacentral:rRNA from 1 species
UACGAAAGGGCACUCUAGAGAGACUGCCGGUGACAAACCGGAGGAAGGUGGGGAUGACGUCAAGUCCUCAUGGCCCUUAUGGGUAGGGCUUCACACGUCAUACAAUGGUGCAUACAGAGGGUUGCCAAGCCGCGAGGUGGAGCUAAUCCCAGAAAAUGCAUCGUAGUCCGGAUCGUAGUCUGCAACUCGACUACGUGAAGCUGGAAUCGCUAGUAAUCGCGGAUCAGCAUGCCGCGGUGAAUACGUUCCCGGGUCUUG